rnacentral:rRNA from 1 species
UACGUAGGGGGCGAGCGUUGUCCGGAUUUACUGGGCGUAAAGGGUGAGUAGGCGGUAAUAUGUGUCAGAUGCAAAAGGCUAAGGCUUAACCAUAGUUAGCAUUUGAAACUGUAUUACUUGAGUGCAGGAGAGGUAAGUGGAAUUCCUAGUGUAGCGGUGAAAUGCGUAGAUAUUAGGAGGAACACCAGUGGCGAAGGCGACUUACUGGACUGUAACUGACGCUGAGUCACGAAAGCGUGGGUAGCAAACAGGAUUAGAUACCCUGGUAGUCCACGCCGUAAACGAUGAGUGCUAGGUGUUGGGUAGCGAUACUCAGUGCCGAAGUAAACACAAUAAGCACUCCGCCUGGGGAGUACGGUCGCAAGACUGAA